rnacentral:rRNA from 16 species
CGUGGCGAUGAUGGACGCGGACCCAACAGCGAUAAGUACCGGUAGGGCAGAGUUGCCAGAAGACUUCAUGAUUUGAACU